GUGAGGAAUAUUGGUCAAUGGGCGGGAGCCUGAACCAGCCAAGUCGCGUGAAGGAAGAAGGAUCUAUGGUUCGUAAACUUCUUUUGCAGGGGAAUAAAGUGCAGGACGUGUCCUGUUUUGUAUGUACCCUGAGAAUAAGGAUCGGCUAACUCCGUGCCAGCAGCCGCGGUAAUGCGGAGGAUCCGAGCGUUAUCCGGAUUUAUUGGGUUUAAAGGGUGCGUAGGUGGUUUGAUAAGUCAGCGGUGAAAGUUUGCAGCUUAACUGUAAAAAUGCCGUUGAAACUGUCGGACUUGAGUGUAAAUGAGGUAGGCGGAAUGCGUGGUGUAGCGGUGAAAUGCAUAGAUAUCACGCAGAACUCCGAUUGCGAAGGCAGCUUACUAAGCUACAACUGACACUGAAGCACGAAAGCGUGGGGAUCAAACAGGAUUAGAUACCCUGGUAGUCC
rnacentral:rRNA from 1 species